GCCGAAGUGGUGGAACUGGUAGACACGCUGUGUUCAGGGCGCAGUGUCCUUACGGGCGUGGGGGUUCAAAUCCCCCCUUCGGCA
rnacentral:tRNA from 1 species